CUGCCCUGCUAGCCUUGGCUCCGCGGAGCCUGAGAUCCCGGCGGGCGCCUCCGCCCGUCGCCAGCUGAGCCCUGGCACCCCGGACCCAAGGCCAUGGUGCUCCGUGGGCGGGAAUGUGCCAGGAGGACCGCACAGAGAGCACAGAUGGGCACCCUGGGCUCGAUCUUCUCACCUGGGGCGGGCAGGUGCUCCACCACCCUCUCGCCCUCUUUCAUCCACACGUGCGCCAGAGCCACAUCCAGCACCACGGACAGCUCCCAGGAGAUCCCAAGAGAGUGGAAGAGGUGUGACCAAGGUCCCUCAGCUG